CGUUAGCGGCGGACGGGUGAGUAACACGUGGGUAACCUACCUAUAAGACUGGGAUAACUUCGGGAAACCGGAGCUAAUACCGGAUAAUAUUUCGAACCGCAUGGUUCGAUAGUGAAAGAUGGUUCUGCUAUCACUUAUAGAUGGACCCGCGCCGUAUUAGCUAGUUGGUAAGGUAACGGCUUACCAAGGCGACGAUACGUAGCCGACCUGAGAGGGUGAUCGGCCACACUGGAACUGAGACACGGUCCAGACUCCUACGGGAGGCAGCAGCU
rnacentral:rRNA from 1 species